CCUACGGGCGGCAGCAGUGGGGAAUAUUGGACAAUGGGGGGAACCCUGAUCCAGCCAUGCCGCGUGUGUGAAGAAGGCCCUCGGGUUGUAAAGCACUUUCAGUGAGGAAGAACGCCUGGUGGUUAAUACCCAUCAGGAAAGACAUCACUCACAGAAGAAGCACCGGCUAACUCCGUGCCAGCAGCCGCGGUAAUACGGAGGGUGCGAGCGUUAAUCGGAAUUACUGGGCGUAAAGCGCGCGUAGGUGGCUUGAUAAGCCGGUUGUGAAAGCCCCGGGCUCAACCUGGGAACGGCAUCCGGAACUGUCAAGCUAGAGUGCAGGAGAGGAAGGUAGAAUUCCCGGUGUAGCGGUGAAAUGCGUAGAGAUCGGGAGGAAUACCAGUGACGAAGGCGGCCUUCUGGACUGACACUGACACUGAGGUGCGAAAGCGUGGGUAGCAAACAGGAUUAGAUACCCUUGUAGUC
rnacentral:rRNA from 1 species